UGAGAGGCCAUAUAGGCCACACUUGCCCUACAGACCCAACACUGAAAUGUCAAACCACCACCACCAUACGAAACACAGAACAGUCCCUGAGAGUGCUGAUGAGGGAAGACACAAAAGCAGAAGUAAAUUCGAGCACUACGAGUGCAAAGAGUAUGCUUGCUUUGCUGUUGCUGAACAGUUCCUGAACAUUACCAACCAUAUCAGGUACAACAACAGCAGGAACUCUUGCACUAAACACUGCACUUCUGCUUCAAUUAUGUGCCUCUUUAUGAUCUAGCUCAUCAACCUGGGGCUAUUGCACAAAGGAUUUCUCAAGUAAUCAUAUAACCUGGUCCAAAAUGUAAGACUAUACUACAGGAAAUAAGGUCGCCUUUCAGCAGAGAGUCCAGGGUGAAGAUCACAUUGUGGCUGAGACUCUGGAGCUGGGAACAGAACAGAGGAAUCAACUGUUACACAGACAUGAACUACACUCUUAAACGAUGGUUCAUGGCUUUGAAAUACAGUUCUACUUGCCAAAAUAAUACAGGCCAAUCUUUACCCAUGUGCCUUCAAGGGUUCACAGGUUUUGUUAUGCUGUAAGACAACUGCAGUAUGUAGCAACCUAACUACAUAAUGUUCUCUUCAUUCAUAUCACGCACCCCCAACAAAGACAGAGCACACCUCUGCUGUUUAAUGCCUGGUAUUUUUAAGCAACUAGUUACAGACACGUUACAUUGCUUUUUUGGCAGAAUUUUAUACUGAGGGUUAUUUCUUUCUUCUGCUGUAAAACUCAAGAUACUUGUUUUAAUAAAAUCUAGCAUUUUUCUGCUA